UAAACAUGCAGUCGAACGGUAGCACAGAGAGCUUGCUCUCGGGUGACGAGUGGCGGACGGGUGAGUAAUGUCUGGGAAACUGCCUGAUGGAGGGGGAUAACUACUGGAAACGGUAGCUAAUACCGCAUAAUGUCGCAAGACCAAAGAGGGGGACCUUCGGACCUCUUGCCAUCAGAUGUGCCCAGAUGGAAUAAACUAGUACGCGGGGUAACGGCCCACCCAGGCGAAGAUCCCUAGCUGGUCUGAGAUGAUGACCAUCCACACUGGAACUGAGACACUGUCU
rnacentral:rRNA from 1 species